rnacentral:rRNA from 1 species
GAUUAGAUACCCCACUAUGCCUAGCCCUAAACACUGACCACAUACGCACAACACAAUCCGCCAGAGAACUACAAGCGAAAAGCUAAAAACUCCAAGGACUUGGCGGUGCCUUAAACCAACCUAGAGGAGCCUGUCCUAUAAUCGAUACCCCACGUUAAACCUUACCCCUCUUAGCCAAACAGCCUAUAUACCGCCGUCGCCAGCCUACCUUAUGAAAGAAAUAAAGUAAGCAAAAUAGUUAACAACUAACACGUCAGGUCAAGGUGUAGCACACGGAGGGGGCAGAGAUGGGCUACACUAUCAAUGAACGAAGAUACGAACAACAUGCUGAAACACAUGUUUGAAGGUGGAUUUAGUAGUAAGAUGUGUAAGAAAAGCCAUUUUAAACCUGCUCUAAGGCGCGCACACACCGCCCGUCACCCUCAUCACAUGCGCACACCACACAAACAUAUAUUUAAAACGCAACCCAGAUGAGGCAAGUCGUAACAUGGUAAGCGCACUGGAAAGUACGCUUGGAAU